GACGAACGCUGGCGGCGUGCUUAACACAUGCAAGUCGAGCGGUAAGGCCCUUUCGGGGGUACACGAGCGGCGAACGGGUGAGUAACACGUGGGUGACCUGCCCUCAGCUCUGGGAUAAGCCUGGGAAACUGGGUCUAAUACUGGAUAUGACUCCACGGUGCAUGUCGUGGGGUGGAAAGCCUUGUGCGGCUGAGGAUGGGCCCGCGGCCUAUCAGCUUGUUGGUGGGGUGANGGCCUACCAAGGCGACGACGGGUAGCCGGCCUGGAGAGGGGCGACCGGCCACACUGGGACUGAGACACGGCCCAGACUCCUACGGGAGGCAGGCAGUGGGGAAUCUUGCGCAAUGGGCGAAAGCCUGACGCAGCGACGCCGCGUGAGGGAUGACGGCCUCGG
rnacentral:rRNA from 1 species